UCGUUGCCCUGUUCCGACGUUUCACCGGUUCCGAUGGAAUCCGAAUGUACUUUCAGUAAAUAGCGGCGGCCACAAAGCGAAAGUUGUUUCGUUUUACACGCACACGUGCCAUUGUUGAACAAGCAGUACAUGAUUGAUGAAAUCUUUAUCUUAGGAAUAUGGGACAAAUUAGGCUUUAUAACAGUGGGUCAGACUGCAGGACUCCACGUAAUAGUAAAAUACAGUUCCCGGAAGCAAGCUCAACAUUUGAGCCCAGCACAGUAAAAAAGCUACAAAAAUAACUUUGACAUAUAAGAGGGGAUACAGAGAAUCACCUGGUAAAUUGAUUAGAGUGAAAGAGGCCUUAGAAGAUGUAGAAAGAGGUAUUCCUUUAACAAGAGCUGAUAGGAACCAUGAUUUGUCAGAAAGUUUCAGAGGAUCCAGAUGGUUUGGUUCAAUGUGAUAUAUGCGACACUUGGAUCCAUGUUUCUUGUAUUCCCGAAGACCAUGACUAUGAUAAGGCUGCUUUAACCUCUGAAAGAUUAUAAUAAUUUUGCCAUUUGUUUGUCAAUUAAAUAAAAUAUGCACUGUUGUAACUUUGCUGGAAUAGUUUACUGUGACAUUGUACAAUAUACACCAAGUCUUGUAUGCUUAAGAUAUUGUUAAUGUGUGUCCAUAGUUGUGUUAAAUUUUCAGCUGGAGUGCUUGUAUCAGAAAUGAGCCUACUUUGUAUUAUGUAGCUACAUGUAAUAAUUGUAAUAAAGAUAAAAAACCAACAUAA